AACUGGGCAUGUGCCCUGACCAGGAAUUGAACUGUUGAUCUCCUGGUUCAUAGGUUGAUUCUCAACCACUGAGCCAUGCUGGCUGGGCUUGAGUUCUUUAUUAAAAGGAAAACAUGAAAAAUCUUUCCAGUUAGGAAGAGUGAAUGAGUCUUAAUGAUCUAGCCUAGUACAUUGUUAAUAUUCUGACUUACUACUAUGAUUCAAAAGUGUGUGAAGAGAAAAAGAAAGUUCCUGUAUGAUUUUUUAAUCUUAUUAGAGACAAACAUAACAAGGUUGACAAAUUAUACAGACAGGGCUCUCAUUUUUCCAGUUCAUAUUUCUAAAUGUUUAAUGCUUCCCCCAACAGCUGACUUUUGAGAAUAUCAAAAAGCAGUUACUUUUAAAGCACUCCCUGUCAUGAAGUAG